rnacentral:tRNA from 3 species
GUGGUUGUAGUUCAGUUGGUAGAGCGCCAGUUUGUGGUACUGGUUGUCGCGGGUUCAAGUCCCGUCAGCCACCCCA